rnacentral:rRNA from 1 species
GGACCAGACUCCUACGGGAGGCAGCAGUGGGGAAUAUUGCACAAUGGGGGAAACCCUGAUGCAGCAACGCCGCGUGAGUGAAGAAGUAUUUCGGUAUGUAAAGCUCUAUCAGCAGGGAAGAGAAUGACGGUACCUGACUAAGAAGCCCCGGCUAACUACGUGCCAGCAGCCGCGGUAAUACGUAGGGGGCAAGCGUUAUCCGGAUUCACUGGGUGUAAAGGGAGCGUAGACGGCGACGCAAGUCUGGAGUGAAAGCCCGGGGCCCAACCCCGGGACUGCUCUGGAAACUGCGUCGCUGGAGUACGGGAGGGGCAGGCGGAAUUCCUGGUGUAGCGGUGAAAUGCGUAGAUAUCAGGAGGAACACCGGCGGCGAAGGCGGCCUGCUGGACCGUGACUGACGUUGAGGCUCGAGAGCGUGGGGAGCGAAAGGGAUUAGAUACCCUAGUA